rnacentral:rRNA from 1 species
UCUUACGGGAGGCAGCAGUGGGGAAUAUUGGACAAUGGGCGGAAGCCUGAUCCAGCAACGCCGCGUGAGGGAUGACGGCCUUCGGGUUGUAAACCUCUUUCAGCACAGAAAAAGCGCAAGUGACGGUAUGUGCAGAAGAAGGACCGGCCAACUACGUGCCAGCAGCCGCGGUAAUACGUAGGGUCCGAGCGUUGUCCGGAAUUAUUGGGCGUAAAGGGCUCGUAGGCGGUCUGUCGCGUCGGGAGUGAAAACCAGGUGCUUAACACCUGGCCUGCUUCCGAUACGGGCAGACUAGAGGUACUCAGGGGAGAAUGGAAUUCUUGGUGUAGCGGUGAAAUGCGCAGAUAUCAGGAGGAACACCGGCGGCGAAGGCGGUUCUCUGGGAGUAUCCUGACGCCGAGGAGCGAAAAUGUGGGGGGCGAACAGGAUUAGAUGCCCCGGUUGUCCACACCGUAAACGUUGAACGCUAAGUGGGCUGCGUUCCCUUCUGUGGGGGAGGGGGAAUCUAAAAUAAGAGAGAAAAAUCUUCCAAACUUUAAAUUUA